rnacentral:snRNA from 1 species
UUUUCAUUUCAGCCCUUUGGAUAAAAUCAAUGCAGAAUGAAUUAUCAGCUUAAUAUCUGAAAGGGUCCCUAUUUGGGGCCAUCGAUACCAAACAAGUUUUUAGAACAAGGUGAAGAGUUAGGGACAUGUUCUGCCUUUGUCACUAUAGAGGUUGCAGAUAGGAUAUAAAUAAAAUAUU